GCCUGGUUAGCAUAAACAGUAAUGCAAUUGUUUUGUAAUCAAUUGAAGGGGGUGCGAUACCCCCACUGGGCU
rnacentral:tRNA from 2 species